rnacentral:piRNA from 1 species
UAAUUCCCAAGUGUCCUUCUUUGAAAUCCC